AAGUCAAACAAACAAACAAAACCCACAAAGCGGAAAACAUGCUACAAAGGGAGAUAACACUGCCUUCUGGCAGGUGUUAUCUGUUUCACAUUCAGGAAACAGCCUCCAGCUGUAAAACCAGCACGGCUGUGAAACUGACGUCAUUGUCAGCCAGAUCCCUGAGGACCACAGGAACACAUCCCGUGUUUCUCGGGUGCCUCGUUUUCAGAGUUUUCAAACAAGUCGUUUCUACACAAGUUAUGGGAUCUUACCUCAUGAUCUUUGCCGAUUGUUUCUUUGAAAGAGGAAAACACGAUAUGAAUGAGACUAACACCCUGCACAGGAUUCUGAUUGUGACCAAGGUUGCCUACAGGGCUGCAAGUCCCUCUGACUGCUUUCUGUGUUGGUGGUGCAGCCUGUAUUGUAUGGAGCACAGAGAAAACAGACCCAAGAGCAGAGAUGGGAUUGCCGUGGGUGGGCGGACUGACCUCUCCUGUCAAAACAGCUUACUUGAGCCUGGGUGAGGGAUGAACUGGAGGUGGGACGACGCUCAGGCAUUCCUGCAAAGGACUAUCUACAAGAGACAGCUCUGCCUGGGAACCUUGUUUUUUCCUCCUGCAGUCUUGUCUUCUAUCUAAGGAUUCGGGGAAGUGACCUUCUGCAGGAAGAGCUUCAAAACAGUGCAACUCAGCUCGCUGUGAUUUUGUAUCUGAAAUGGAUUACGGAAGUCAAGCUCCGGAAGGGAGGAAGUUGAAUGGCAUACCGUUUUGCUUUCUUGAUCUACGUGUGAGCUCCUGGCUGUUAAGCCUGAGGCGCCCCUUGGAGGAGACGUGGAACCUGCCAUGCUGCGCCUGGAGGGAAAGUCUCUCUGAGAAGCUGUGCACCCCCCAGGGGACCUCUUCCGGAAGGACACGGAGCUGUAGGUAACAGCGCCUCAGGGUGGCCUCAUAGAGUCCUUUGUAGCACAUGGGGGAAACACAAAAACGUCCAAGGAAAUCGAUAACCUAUUUUAGUUUUGGAAAUACACAGCCUUUCAAAAGCACUGUUGACGACAACGGC